CAGCCGCCGCGGGAAUACGAAGGGUGCAAGCGUUAAUCGGAAUUACUGGGCGUAAAGCGUGCGUAGGCGGUGAGUUAAGUCUGCUGUGAAAUCCCCGGGCUCAACCUGGGAAUGGCAGUGGAUACUGGCUCGCUAGAGUGUGUCAGAGGAUGGUGGAAUUCCCGGUGUAGCGGUGAAAUGCGUAGAGAUCGGGAGGAACAUCAGUGGCGAAGGCGGCCAUCUGGGACAACACUGACGCUGAGGCACGAAAGCGUGGGGAGCAAACAGGAUUAGAUACCCCAGUAGUCCCUGUCUCUUAUCC
rnacentral:rRNA from 1 species